rnacentral:ncRNA from 1 species
UUUCUUCAGGGCAGGGUGUGAUCCCCGACCGGCGGUAUAGUCCGCGAACCACCUCGGUGGCCGAUCCGGUUAGAUUCCGGUACCGACAGUUAUAGUCUGGAUGAGAGAAGAA